UACGGGGGGGGGUAAGCGUUGUUCGGAAUUACUGGGCGUAAAGGGCUCGUAGGCGGCCAACUAAGUCAGACGUGAAAUCCCUCAGCUUAACUGGGGAACUGCGUCUGAUACUGGAUGGCUUGGAUUCGGGAGAGGAAUGCGGAAUUCCAGGUGUAGCGGUGAAAUGCGUAGAUAUCUGGAGGAACACCGGUGGCGAAGGCGGCAUUCUGGACCGAUAUUGACGCUGAGGAGCGAAAGCCAGGGGAGCGAACAGG
rnacentral:rRNA from 1 species